GAUGAACGCUGGCGGCGUGCCUAAUACAUGCCAGUCGAGCGAACGGACGAGAAGCUUGCUUCUCUGAUGUUAGCGGCGGACGGGUGAGUAACACGUGGAUAACCUACCUAUAAGACUGGGAUAACUUCGGGAAACCGGAGCUAAUACCGGAUGAUAUUUUGAACCGCAUGGUUCAAAAGUGAAAGACGGUCUUGCUGUCACUUAUAGAUGGAUCCGCGCUGCAUUAGCUAGUUGGUAAGGUAACGGCUUACCAAGGCAACGAUGCAUAGCCGACCUGAGAGGGUGAUCGGCCACACUGGAACUGAGACACGGUCCAGACUCCUACGGGAGGCAGCAGUAGGGAAUCUUCCGCAAUGGGCGAAAGCCUGACGGAGCAACGCCGCGUGAGUGAUGAAGGUCUUCGGAUCGUAAAACUCUGUUAUUAGGGAAGAACAUAUGUGUAAGUAACUGUGCACAUCUUGACGGUACCUAAGCAGAAAGCCACGGCUAACUACGU
rnacentral:rRNA from 1 species